UACAGAGACUGCAAGCGUUAUUCGGAUUCACUGGGCGUAAAGGGUGCGCAGGCGGUUGGGUGUGUCAGAUGUGAAAUCCCGAGGCUUAACCUCGGAACUGCGUCUGAAACUACUCGACUAGAGUACUGGAGAGGGUAACGGAAUUCACGGUGUAGCAGUGAAAUGCGUAGAUAUCGUGAGGAACACCAGAGGCGAAGGCGGUCACCUGGACAGUUACUGACGCUCAGGCACGAAAGCAUGGGGAGCAAAAGGG
rnacentral:rRNA from 1 species